rfam:Wencheng Sm shrew coronavirus isolate Xingguo-101 ORF1ab polyprotein, spike glycoprotein, envelope protein, membrane protein, and nucleocapsid protein genes, complete cds.
GGGCAAGGGGUUCUAGUGGAGCUCGACUAGAACCCUGUGGUAAUGGUACUGAACCUGAUGUAGUUGUAAGAGCUUUUG